rnacentral:rRNA from 1 species
AACGAACGCUGGCGGCGCGCCUAAUACAUGCAAGUCGAGCGAGAAGGUGUAGCAAUACACUUGUAAAGCGGCGAACGGGUGAGGAAUACAUGGGUAACCUACCCUCGAGUGGGGAAUAACUAGCCGAAAGGUUAGCUAAUACCGCAUACGAUUCCAGGACUUCGGUCCUGGAAGGAAAGCACUACCGUGGGUAGUGCGCUCCUGGAUGGGCUCAUGUCCUAUCAGCUUGNGGUGAGGUAAAGGCUCACCAAGGCUUCGACGGGUAGCUGGUCUGAGAGGACGAUCAGCCACACUGGCACUGCGACACGGGCCAGACUCCUACGGGAGGCAGCAGUAAGGAAUAUUGGUCAAUGGACGCAAGUCUGAACCA